CCGUGUGGUGGUCGAGUGUUGAGGGUAAUGGGUCGGGUUCCUCUUGGUCUGACGGCUGCCGUUGUGGUCCUCGCCUUCGGCAUCGCACUGAUGCCCUCCGUCCGGGCCCAGGCUCCGGCGCCGGCGCCCGCCAGCGACGGAGUAUCAAUUGACCAAGGGAUAGCUUACCUGCUGAUGCUGGUUGCCUUGGUGCUCACCUAUCUCAUCCACCCCUUGGAUGCAUCAUCUCCCUACAAGCUCUUCUGAGCAUCGAGUUGAUGAUGGUCUUAUUAGGAACAUGAAUGUAAGAGAAGGUUGAAAUGGUUGUUCUUUUUUGCUCGAGUAGUCUGCGAUGCAAUUUGGACGUUGUCUUUUGCUGGUUUUGGCUUCUGAGACUGUUCUCCUUGCCUGUUCUUCCGAGGGAAGCACCAAAGAGAAGUGUUGUUCCUGUGAGCUGUAGCAGAAUAAAGUCUUGUCUCAGCAUUGCAGUUGUUCUUAGUUGGAGCUGCUUCUUGGCCAAAAAUCUGCAACCAAAAUAGACAACAGUUUAUUUCAUCAAAGUUGGAACUAAAUUUAGUCUCCAAUUUUUGUUCACUGAUACCCAUACAUUUUCCUUCCCCAAGACAUGUGGUUGUAUACCUUUUGAUUUCUAUGAAACAGGAAGAACUUUGGAAUCAGUGACA